rnacentral:rRNA from 1 species
CAGUAGCCACGGUAAUACGGAGGGUGCAAGCGUUAAUCGGAAUUACUGGGCGUAAAGCGUGCGUAGGCGGUUCGUUAAGUCUGUUGUGAAAGCCCCGGGCUCAACCUGGGAAUGGCAAUGGAUACUGGCGAGCUAGAGUGUGUCAGAGGAUGGUGGAAUUCCCGGUGUAGCGGUGAAAUGCGUAGAGAUCGGGAGGAACAUCAGUGGCGAAGGCGGCCAUCUGGGACAACACUGACGCUGAGGCACGAAAGCGUGGGGAGCAAACAGGAUUAGAUACCCCUGUAGUCCCUGUCUCUUAUAC